UACGUAGGGCGCAAGCGUUGUCCGGAAUUAUUGGGCGUAAAGAGCUCGUAGGCGGCCUGUCGCGUCUGCUGUGAAAUCCCGGGGCUCAACCCCGGGCGUGCAGUGGAUACGGGCUGGCUGGAGGCAGGCAGGGGAGAACGGAAUUCCUGGUGUAGCGGUGGAAUGCGCAGAUAUCAGGAGGAACACCGGUGGCGAAGGCGGGUCUCUGGGCAGUAACUGACGCUGAGGAGCGAAAGCGUGGGGAGCGAACAGG
rnacentral:rRNA from 1 species